GGAUGAAGAACGUAGCGAAAUGCGAUAAGUAGUGUGAAUUGCAGAAUUCAGUGAAUCAUCGAAUCUUUGAACGCACAUUGCGCCCUUUGGUAUUCCUUAGGGCAUGCCUGUUCGAGCGUCAUUUACAAAUUCAAGCUCAGCUUGGUGAUGGGUGUCUGUCCCGCCUUCGCGCGUGGACUCGCCUCAAAUGCAGUUGGCAGCUUAUCCCUCGGCUCUAAACGCAGCAGACUUGCGUCGAGCGUCGUGUGGACGGGCUCUCCAGUAAGCAAACCCCCCAAAAUUGACCUCGGAUCAGGUAGGGAUACCCGCUGAACUUAAGCAUAUCAAUAAGCGGAGGA
rnacentral:misc_RNA from 1 species